GGUAACAUAUAUCUAGCUUGCUAGAAGAUGACGAGUGGCGGACGGGUGAGUAAUGCUUGGGAACUUGCCUUUGCGAGGGGGAUAACAGUUGGAAACGACUGCUAAUACCGCAUAAUGUCUUCGGACCAAACGGGGCUUCGGCUCCGGCGCAAAGAGAGGCCCAAGUGAGAUUAGCUAGUUGGUAAGGUAACGGCUUACCAAGGCGACGAUCUCUAGCUGUUCUGAGAGGAAGAUCAGCCACACUGGGACUGAGACACGGCCCAGACUCCUACGGGAGGCAGCAGUGGGGAAUAUUGCACAAUGGGGGAAACCCUGAUGCAGCCAUGCCGCGUGUGUGAAGAAGGCCUUCGGGUUGUAAAGCACUUUCAGUUGUGAGGAAAAGUUAGUAGUUAAUACCUGCUAGCCGUGACGUUAACAACAGAAGAAGCACCGGCUAACUCCGUGCCAGCAGCCGCGGUAAUACGGAGGGUGCGAGCGUUAAUCGGAAUUACUGGGCGUAAAGCGCACGCAGGCGGUUUGUUAAGCUAGAUGUGAAAGCCCCGGGCUCAACCUGGGAUGGUCAUUUAGAACUGGCAGACUAGAGUCUUGGAGAGGGGAGUGGAAUUCCAGGUGUAGCGGUGAAAUGCGUAGAUAUCUGGAGGAACAUCAGUGGCGAAGGCGACUCCCUGGCCAAAGACUGACGCUCAUGUGCGAAAGUGUGGGUAGCGAACAGGAUUAGAUACCCUGGUAGUCCACACCGUAAACGCUGUCUACUAGCUGUGUGUGCC
rnacentral:rRNA from 1 species